rnacentral:rRNA from 1 species
GGGGGGGGGGGGGGGGGGGCGGGGGGCGGGCGGGGGGGGCGGGGGGGCCCGGCUGGGGUGGGGUGCUCGGGUGGCGAACGGGGGAGUAACACGUGAGUAACCUGCCCUUGACUGUGGGAUAACUUCAGGGAACUGGGGCGAAUACCGGAUAGGCGCUCCUGCUGCAUGGUGGGGGUUGGAAAGUUUCGGCGGUUGGGGAUGGACUCGCGGCUUAUCAGCUUGUUGGUGGGGUAGUGGCUUACCAAGGCUUUGACGGGUAGCCGGCCUGAGAGGGUGACCGGCCACAUUGGGACUGAGAUACGGCCCAGACUCCUACGGGAGGCAGCAGUGGGGAAUAUUGCACAAUGGGCGGAAGCCUGAUGCAGCAACGCCGCGUGCGGGAUGACGGCCUUCGGGUUGUAAACCGCUUUCGCCUGUGACGAAGCGUGAGUGACGGUAAUGGGUAAAGAAGCACCGGCUAACUACGUG